GACGAACGCUGGCGGCGUGCCUAAUACAUGCAAGUAGAACGCUGAAGGAGGAGCUUGCUUCUCCGGAUGAGUUGCGAACGGGUGAGUAACGCGUAGGUAACCUGCCUGGUAGCGGGGGAUAACUAUUGGAAACGAUAGCUAAUACCGCAUAACAGUAGAUGUUGCAUGACAUUUGCUUAAAAGGUGCAAUUGCAUCACUACCAGAUGGACCUGCGUUGUAUUAGCUAGUUGGUGAGGUAACGGCUCACCAAGGCGACGAUACAUAGCCGACCUGAGAGGGUGAUCGGCCACACUGGGACUGAGACACGGCCCAGACUCCUACGGGAGGUAGCAGUAGGGAAUCUUCGGCAAUGGACGGAAGUCUGACCGAGCAACGCCGCGUGAGUGAAGAAGGUUUUCGGAUCGUAAAGCUCUGUUGUAAGAGAAGAACGAGUGUGAGAGUGGAAAGUUCACACUGUGACGGUAUCUUACCAGAAAGGGACGGCUAACUACGUG
rnacentral:rRNA from 1 species